GAUGAACGCUGCCAGAAUGCUUAACACAUCAGCAAUUGAUUGGUGGCGGACGGGUGAGUAACGCGUAAAGAACUAACCUCCCAGUUAGGGACAACAUUUGGAAACAAAUGCUAAUACCUAAUAUUGGGAGAGAGCUUUGCUUCCCAUUAGCUAGUUGGAAAGGUAACGGCUCACCAAGGCGAUGAUGGGUAGCCGGCCUGAGAGGGUGAUCGGCCAAAAGGGGAAUGAGACACGGCCCUUACACCUACGGGAGGCAGCAGUGGGGAAUAUUGGACAAUGGACCAAAGUCUGAUCCAGCAAUUCAGUGUGCACGAUGAAGUUUUCGGAAUGUAAAGUGCUUUCAGUUGGGAAGCGGUACCAACAGAAGAAGUGACGGCUCAAUACGUGCCAGCAGCCGCGGUAAUAC
rnacentral:rRNA from 1 species